GCCAAACUAUCGUUACAUAGCGUAGUUUUAUUUGAUAUUUGUAUUUAUCGCGUCGACGUCCAUCAUACAGCGUAUGCGUGAUAUGUCUCCGCAUUAUCACUCGCCAAGGUCGUGUGGUCGAAUCUUUCUAAAUGGACAACCGCAAUGAACGCCGCACGUCCAGUCGCCGUCGAAACGACUGGUAUACGUAUGUGUGUAUAUAUAUAUAUAUAUCCAACCUACUCGAGUUCGCCGCCGUCGCUAGAUCGUUGGGCAAUUGCCAAUUGGACCUAGUUUCCAGUGAUUUUCAGUUUUUUACGAGCCAAAAUAUUAUUACGAUUUUGUCGUGAGACAGUUUUCGCCGUUCCAUUGAAGAUUUAUAGCAGCUUAAUACAACAGACAACAGUAUGUGCGUAUGUGCAUCGUGCGUGUAGUCGUACAUUAAGAGAUCCGGCGUAUGGAAAACGAGCAGCGUUCCAAUAAAUGGG